CCAGUGGGAGCAGAGGAGGAGGGGAAGUGACUGCGGAGUUGAUGAACUUUGCACAUCCAGAAACGCCAUUUUGAUUCCUUUUCCGGAACAAGUUUGCAUCUCUCCUCGUCCUCUCCCCGCAGCCCUCCGGUCCCCACCGCAUCAUGCCAGGGAGCCAAGCGCCCCGCCGGGCCGUUAUUGCGACUCUGUGCUCCAGAAGCGGUGGCUUCGAGGUGUGACUCUGCCUGCAUUUGGGCUUCUCAGUAAGGAGGGCAGCGUGAUAAAGGAAAACAGUUCCAGUGACAAGGGAUACCAGAAGAAGGAAAAAGUCAGCACAGCGUCAUUCCUGCCACGCAUGGAUGACAGCAGUAGCCAGCGGGGAUUUUGAAGUCUGUCAUUUGGGGCAGAAAUGGAGGUAACUAGCAGCGGGGGAAGAAGGUGGGCCCUCAAUUCGCUGGAGUACAGAUGUGUCACCAGUGGAUUUUUUUUAAAGAACUGGGC
rnacentral:lncRNA from 1 species